rnacentral:rRNA from 1 species
UGGGGAAUCUUGGACAAUGGGGGAAACCCUGAUCCAGCGACGCCGCGUGUGUGAAGAAGGCCUGCGGGUUGUAAAGCUCUUUCGGCGGGGACGAAAUGGUUCGUGCCAAUACCACGGACUGAUGACGGUACCUGAAGAAGAAGCACCGGCUAACUACGUGCCAGCAGCCGCGGUAAUACGUAGGGUGCAGGCGUUAAUCGGAAUUACUGGGCGUAAAGCGUGCGCAGGCGGUUUGUUAAGACAGAUGUGAAAUCCCCGGGCUUAACCUGGGAACUGCGUUUGUAACUGGCAGACUGGAGUGUGGCAGAGGGGGGUGGAAUUCCAAGUGCAGCAGUGAAAUGCGUAGAUAUUUGGAGGAACACCGAUGGCGAAGGCAGCCCCCUGGGCUAACACUGACGCUCAUGCACGAAAGCGUGGGGAGCAAACAGGAUUAGAUACCCCCGUAGUCCCUGAGCGGGCUGGCAAGGCGCAU